GACGAACGCUGGCGGCGUGCUUAACACAUGCAAGUCGAACGGAAAGGCCCUGCUUUUGUGGGGUGCUCGAGUGGCGAACGGGUGAGUAACACGUGAGUAACCUGCCCUUGACUUUGGGAUAACUUCAGGAAACUGGGGCUAAUACCGGAUAGGAGCUCCUGCUGCAUGGUGGGGGUUGGAAAGUUUCGGCGGUUGGGGAUGGACUCGCGGCUUAUCAGCUUGUUGGUGGGGUAGUGGCUUACCAAGGCUUUGACGGGUAGCCGGCCUGAGAGGGUGACCGGCAACAUUGGGACUGAGAUACGGCCCAGACUCCUACGGGAGGCAGCAGUGGGGAAUAUUGCACAAUGGGCGGAGGCCUGAUGCAGAAACGCCGCGUGCGGGAUGACGGCCUUCGGGUUGUAAACCGCUUUCGCCUGUGACGAAGCGUGAGUGACGGUAAUGGGUAAAGAAGCACCGGCUAACUACGUG
rnacentral:rRNA from 1 species